rnacentral:rRNA from 1 species
CCUACGGGAGGCAGCAGUGAGGAAUAUUGGUCAAUGGGCGGAAGCCUGAACCAGCCAAGUAGCGUGCGGGAUGAAGGCCCUACGGGUCGUAAACCGCUUUUGCACGGGGAUAACACCCUCCACUUGUGGAGGUCUGCAGGUACCGUGCGAAUAAGGGCCGGCUAAUUCCGUGCCAGCAGCCGCGGUAAGACGGAAGUCCCGAGCGUUAUCCGGAUUCAUUGGGAUUAAAGGGAGCGUAGGCGGGCGUUCAAGUCAGCGGUAAAAGCGCGCGGCUCAACCGCGCCCCGCAGUUGAACCUGGACGCCUUGAGUGCACAACAGGCAGGCGGAAUGCGUGGUGUAGCGGUGAAAUGCAUAGAUAUCACGAGGAACCCCGAUUGCGAAGGCAGCCUGCCGGGGUGCGACUGACGCUGAGGCUCGAAGGUGCGGGUAUCAAACAGGAUUAGAUACCCCAGUAGUC